UGGGGCAGGCGCGCUCCGGGGCCCACGAGAAGGGGGCGGAGCGCGAGGAAGCGGCGGCGGUUUCCUUCGAAGAAAGGGGGACCCGGCGAGGCGCGUUGUAGGGAAACCGUUAGCAUGGCCCACCUCUCUGUUUGUGGUCCUCGAGAGGAGGCUGUUGGCGGGACUUUGGGGUGAGGGGCCGGGAGGAGGCGGAGCAUGCUCUCCGGGCAACGACUACUAUGGUAAUUGGAAACUUAGAGCUGAGACUAGCAGAGUGAUUCCUGACUGGUGGUUGACCGAUUUGACCCACGCUUUAUUGGGAGCCAGAUGGAGCUGGCUCUGCUCUGAGGACAAGGGGGGAAAUCUGGUCUAUAGGGGCAGCCGUCUCGCCAGGCCUGUAGUGUGGGAUUGUUGGAUGAGGGUGGGGCUCAGGGCUUGGCGGGGGUGAGGGCACAGGAGGAAUGAGGGGGAAUGGAGGGGAGUGGACUGUUGAGCCUCUGCCCAUGAGGGGCGGAAGCUAUGUGUGCUGCCUAGGCCCUGGCUGGGGCUAGCUGUGCAAUUCCGCGAGCAUGAAACAGAAAGGGCACUCGGCAAUGAAGCGUCCCUUCUGGAAGGCGGAGGCCCUGGGUCUUGUCCUCUGAGAACUCUGUGAAGACCCUCUGAGCACCCGGGCCAGUGAGCGAGAUCUCGCCUUUCAGCCAGCCGAGCUCAAGACUGGGCCUGG
rnacentral:lncRNA from 1 species